rnacentral:rRNA from 1 species
GUAGGGUCCGAGCGUUGUCCGGAAUUAUUGGGCGUAAAGGGCUCGUAGGCGGUUUGUCGCGUCGGGAGUGAAAACUCAGGGCUCAACCCUGAGCGUGCUUCCGAUACGGGCAGACUAGAGGUAUGCAGGGGAGAACGGAAUUCCUGGUGUAGCGGUGGAAUGCGCAGAUAUCAGGAGGAACACCGGUGGCGAAGGCGGUUCUCUGGGCAUUACCUGACGCUGAGGAGCGAAAGCAUGGGAGCGAACAGGAUUAGAUACCCUGGUAGUCCAUGCCGUAAACGUUGGGCGCUAGGUGUGGGGACCUUCCACGGUCUCCGUGCCGCAGCUAACGCAUUAAGCGCCCCGCCUGGGGAGUACGGCCGCAAGGCUA